rnacentral:misc_RNA from 1 species
UACCUGAUCAUACUGUCUCUCCAUGCCCAGCUCCUUAUGCCCCUAUAUUGAAAUGAAGAAAAGAUAUCAUUUAUUGCCAUGCCUUGUGGAUCUUGCCAGUUGUGGAACUACUUUGCAAUACUUGGGAACGUGGGUUUCACUGCUAAAAUAUAGAUGAGGGUUGUUUUUUUUUGUUUGGGUUCUUGGGUGCUGCUUAAGGCAGCGGAUAGUUGGCCAGGCCUUUUGUGUUCCAUUCAAGUGAUUGGAAGCUGCGAGUUCCUUGUUGAGUACACGUUCAUCAGACUAGACUAACCUUUGCUUCUUUAUGUCUAUUAUCUUGUAUUCACUUAUUUGUACCAUCAUCCUUCAGGGUUGUGAUUUCCGUCUUUGUAAAUAGUGGGCUAAUAUCUGGAAAAAGAAAAGUGGGAAAAAGAAAGGAGACAGACUAGCAUAGCCUAGCUAUGUGGGUUUUAUGGAUCAAAAUGCUAGCCAAUUUGUGAAUGUAGAAAUGGAUGUCCUAGCUUUGACUGAACAUUGUAACUGUAAUUUGUAUAUCCAGGUACUAACAUUUUUCUUCUGGCUACAUGAUUUGUCCCAACUCAAUUUUUUUUUUUUUUUUGGCAAA